UCUUUCCGACAUCCUAUCUCAGGGUCUUCACACCAACCCUGUGAGAGAGGAAGCAUCACAAAUAAUAAAUUAUUUUUUCUGCAGAAGGGGAAACGGAACUGUGAGACAGGGAGUCCUUGCCUGAGAUUGCCUAGGAAGUAGAGUCCACAUUGAUUUACAGGUCGGAGGUCUCCUAACUGGGUUCUACUCUUCUCACCUGCGCCCGCCUCAUCUAGGCCUGUUCACGUCUCAACAGCCACGCCCCCAGACAUCAGUCUAAGUCCUAAAGCCGUCUUAGUGCACAAGCCACAUAUCCCCCGGUCUCAGACGGGCAAACGAGCGCAAAGAGUGACAACGAUGUGGCAAAGAUGGAGUUGAAAGAAGGAGAACUAGUGGAAAGUAUGUACCAGGAAUAGAUAGAUCCUGAGAUCCUGAGGCUUCCUUACUGACAUGCGGACACAUGGUGGCUGUCAGCUAGGCCCUCUGUGGGAACUAUCAGCUGGAACACAUUUACAUAGCCUCUCCCUGUGGCCUGAGCUUCCUCACAGCACAGCAGAUGGGUUUCGAAGUUGAGUAUCCCAAGAAAUAGACUGAUAGAAGCUGCAUGGCCUCUUCUCACUUAACCUUGGAAGUUACAGAGUGUAACCACAGCUCAGACAAGAAUCAAGACACAUACACAUUGGGCUUCCCUGGUGGCACAAUGGUUGAGAAUCUGUCUGCCAAUGCAGAGGACAUGGGUUCGAGCCCUGGUG